GGCGACCGGCGCACGGGUGAGUAACACGUAUCCAACCUGCCGAUAACUCGGGGAUAGCCUUUCGAAAGAAAGAUUAAUACCCGAUGGUAUAAUCAGACCGCAUGGUCUUGUUAUUAAAGAAUUUCGGUUAUCGAUGGGGAUGCGUUCCAUUAGGCAGUUGGUGAGGUAACGGCUCACCAAACCUUCGAUGGAUAGGGGUUCUGAGAGGAAGGUCCCCCACAUUGGAACUGAGACACGGUCCAA
rnacentral:rRNA from 1 species